rnacentral:rRNA from 1 species
AGUGAACGCUGGCGGCGUGCCUAAUACAUGCAAGUCGAACGAAGUGGCGCACGGGUGAGUAAUAUAUAGUUAAUCUGCCCUACACAGAGGAACAACAGUUGGAAACGACUGCUAAUACCUCAUAGUGUAGGAUGAGACUAUAUCGUAUCAGCUAGUUGGUAAGGGAAUGGCUUACCAAGGCUAUGACGCGUAACUGGUCUGCGAGGAUGGUCAGUCACAUUCGACCUGAGACACCGUCCAGACUCCUACGGGAAGCAGCAGUAAGGAAUAUUGCGCAAGCGGCGAGUCCCUGACGCAGCAACGCCGCGUGGAGGAUGACACUUUUCGGGGCGUAAACUCCUUUUAUCAGGAAAGCGGUACCUGCUGAAUAAGCACCGGCUAACUCCGUGCCAGCAGCCGCGGUAAUAC